rnacentral:ncRNA from 1 species
CUAAAAUUUAUUAUUAAAUAUUUAAGAAAGGCGAUGACAGGCGGGUUUAAGUUUUGAGAUUGAGCGAGUGCCGAGCGUAAGCGAGGCGCGAGCGAGAAGACAAAGCCUCGGCUGAGUCAACUUAAAUUGAAAAAGUGCCUAGAAAAAGUCAGCGGUCUGUAUUAUUGGUAACCGUACCGUAAACCGACACAGGUGGGCGGGCAUAAGUGUGCCAAGGUGAAUGAGAGAAUCCUCGUUUAGGAACUCGGCAAAAUAACGUCCGUAAGUUAGCAAUAAGGACUCCCCGAUUUUACAUCGGGGCGCAGCUAAAGAUCUCAAGCGACUGUUUACCAAAAACUUAGGUCCCUGCGAAAGCGCAAGCUGAUGUAUAGGGGCUGAUGCCUGGCCAGUGUCAGAACGUUAAGGGGAGAAGUGAUCCGUUGCUUCGCAACGGGAAUUUUGAAUUUUAAAACUCGAAUUUUGAAUCAAUUUUUAAUAUUCAAAUAUUAGAAUAUUGAAUCAAAAUUAAAAAUUCGAAUUUCCGCUGCGGAGCAGCGGCGCAGCUUCAAACCGAAGCGCUGAUGAACGCCGGCGAUAACUAUAAUCGUCCUAAGGUUUUGCUCUUAAUUUUCGAGAGCAAAAGGACUGGGACGAUUAUAUCGAAGAUUCGCUGCCUCAUUUCACUGCAAAGUGAAAUUGGUCCAUAAAAUACUUAGCUGUAUGCUGGAAAGUUGACAGAGAUAAUUAAAUAUGGUAAUAUUUUACCAUAGAUUAAAAUUAUCCUAUGUCAACCAAUCAGCAGGAAAGUCUAAAAAUUAAAAGCUGGAUUGUUGGGUUUACUGAUGGAGAAGGUUGCUUCUCGGUUAGUAUAAUCAAAAAUUUGACAACCAAAACCGGUUGGCAAAUUUUUCCUGAAUUUGUGAUUACGCAAGGUGAAAAAAGCUUAAAGGUGAUACAAAAUAUUAAAGAUUAUUUCAACUGCGGUCAGAUUUAUAUUAAUCGCAGAAAAGAUAAUCAUAAAGAAAAUCUUUGUCGCUAUUGCGUAAGAUCAAUUAAGGAUUUAGACGAAAAAAUUAUUCCUUUCUUUAAGAAGAAUAGAUUAAGAACAGCAAAAUUUAAUGAUUUUAAGAAAUUUUGUUUGAUCCUUAAAUUAAUGAAACGAAAAAAACAUUUGACCCAAGAAGGAAUAAAAAAAAUCGCUAAAAUUAUUCAGGAAAUGAAUAGAAAAAUUCCAGCUAGAUUUUUAGAAUCCUCAGAGACUAAACGCUAAGCUCCCGAUUUUAAAUCGGGAUGAAGAUAUAGUCCAAAGCCUCAAGGAAGCUAGAGCGAAAUUCCUUGUCGGGUAAGUUCCGACCUGCACGAAUGGCAUAACGACUUGAGAACUCUCUCAACGAGGAACUCAGUGAAAUUGCAAGUCCAGUGAAGAUGCUGGGUACCCACAGCUGGACGAAAAGACCCCGUGAAGCUUUACUACAACUUGAUAUUGGAUUAUUAUUUCACCUGUUCAGAAUAGGUGGGAGGUCGUGUUCUGCUGACGCAGAACACUAAAUUCAAAAUUCAAAAAUCAAAAGUCAAAAUUAUAGAGUCCCGCCUACGGCGGGAUGGAAUAAUUACUUAAACUUUUGAGAUUUGAGACCUGCCCGUCAAUGCCUGCCAAAAAAUUUCAGUGAAACAAUUNNNNNNNNNNNNNNNNNNNNNNNNNNNNNNNNNNNNNNNNAGUGAAACAAUUUAGAUUUAUUCAGACUAAAAUUUAUUAUUAAAUAUUUAAGAAAGGCGAUGGCAGGCGGGUUUAAGUUUUGAGUUUAGGACGCGUCCGCAGGACGCGGCCGUCAGUGAGAUACCACCCUGGUGUUUUGAUAAUUCUAAUCUAGCCCCCUGAACCGGGGGAGGAAACAGUAUCUGGUGGGUAGUUUAACUGGGGCGGUUGCCUCCUAAAAGGUAACGGAGGCGUUUACAAAGGUUGGCUAGGUUCGGAUGGAAAUCGAACCGAUAGUGUAAAGGCACAUGCCAGCUUUACUGCAAGACUUACCAGUCGCGCAGUUACGAAAGUAUAACUUAGUGAUCCGACCGUACGAGAUAGGACGGCGGAAGCUCAACGGAUAAAAGCUACUCCGGGGAUAACAGGCUAGUCUGGUCCAAGAGUCCACAUCGACGACCAGGUUCGGCACCUCGAUGUCGGCCCAUCGCAUCCUGGGGGUGAAGAAGCUCCCAAGGGUUUGGCUGUUCGCCAAUUAAAGCGGUACGCGAGCUGGGUUCAGAACGUCGUGAGACAGUAGAUUCGUGCUGUCUAUAAAUUCGGCUAUAUGCUGGAAAAUCCGAGAAUCUUAUGAUACUCAUCCAUAAAAAUUGGGUAGUGAAAAUUCAUAAGUGCGGACAAUCAGCAGGAAACUUAAUAAUAGUUUGUUAUUAAUAAUAUUAUUUAUGUUAUUGCUAACAAAAUUGUCGAGAGCGGCUUCUAAUAAAAAAAUUAUAUUAUUAGAAGCGUUAAAAUAGUAGUGAUUGCAAAUACAGUAGUGGUUUAUAAUAACCAAUCUACAUAAAUUAUUGCCGCAGACUCGAAUUAUUAUGAAUCCUCAGAGACUAUACGCCGAAAUUCCGAUAAAAAUCGGAAAUAAGAUAUAGUCCGAACUGCAUGGCGACAUGCAGAUUCCGGCAGAAAUUGUCGGAACGCCAUAGAGCAAUUGAUGUUUUAAGAUAUGGUUUUGCAAAGUAACAGAUUGUCGGUCUCCUAUCCACUGUGGGCGUUGAAAUUUGAGGGGGCUCAUUUUUAGUACGAGAGGACCAAAAUGAAUAAACCUCUAGUGUACCAGCUGUCCUACCAAGGGCACAGCUGGGUAGCUACGUUUAGUUUAGAUAAGCGCUGAAAGCAUAUAAGCGCGAAGCUGUCCCCAAGAUUAGAUUUCGUUAUAGGCUCCCGGGAGACGACCGGGUUGAUAGGCGGUAGGUGUAAGGCCAGCAAUGGCUUGAGCCGAGCCGUACUAAUAGCCAAUUUCUAUUUAACCAC